GGAGCAUGUGGUUUAAUUCGAAGCAACGCGCAGAACCUUACCAGCCUUUGACAUGGCAGGACGACUUCCGGAGACGGAUUUCUUCCAGCAAUGGACCUGCACACAGGUGCUGCAUGGCUGUCGUCAGCUCGUGUCGUGAGAUGUUGGGUUAAGUCCCGCAACGAGCGCAACCCUCGCCUCUAGUUGCCAGCAUUCAGUUGGGCACUCUAGAGGGACUGCCGGUGAUAAGCCGCGAGGAAGGUGGGAUGACGUCAAGUCCUCAUGGCCCUUACGGGCUGGGCUACACACGUGCUACAAUGGUGGUGACAGUGGGAUGCAAAAGGGCGACCUCUAGCAAAUCUCCAAAAGCCAUCUCAGUUCGGAUUGCACUCUGCAACUCGAGUGCAUGAAGUUGGAAUCGCUAGUAAUCGUGGAUCAGCAUGCCACGGUGAAUACGUUCCCGGGCCUU
rnacentral:rRNA from 1 species